AGUGAACGCUGGCGGUAGGCCUAACACAUGCAAGUCGAACGGCAGCACAGUAAGAGCUUGCUCUUACGGGUGGCGAGUGGCGGACGGGUGAGGAAUACAUCGGAAUCUACUUUUUCGUGGGGGAUAACGUAGGGAAACUUACGCUAAUACCGCAUACGACCUACGGGUGAAAGCAGGGGAUCUUCGGACCUUGCGCGAUUGAAUGAGCCGAUGUCGGAUUAGCUAGUUGGCGGGGUAAAGGCCCACCAAGGCGACGAUCCGUAGCUGGUCUGAGAGGAUGAUAAGCCACACUGGAACUGAGACACGGUCCAGAUACCUACGGGAGGCGGAGGUGGGGAAUAUUGGACACUGGGCGCAAGCCUGAUCCAGCCAUACCGCGUGGGUGAAGAAGGCCUUCGGGUUGUAAAGCCCUUUUGUUGGGAAAGAAAAGCAGCAGGUUAAUACCCCGCUGUUCGGACGGUACCCAAAGAAUAAACACCGGCUAACUUCGU
rnacentral:rRNA from 1 species